rnacentral:rRNA from 1 species
GAGACCCCUACUACUAGUUGCCAGCGGGUUCCAAUGGAAUGCCGGGCACACUAGUGGAACUGCCGCCGAUAAGGCGGAGGAAGGGGGGGGCAACGGCAGGUCAGCAUGCUCCGAAUGCCCCGGGCCACACGCGGCCUGCAAUGGUAGGGACAGAGAGUUUCGACUUCGAAAGGAGAAGGCAAUCCCUAAACCCUACCUCAGUUGGGACUGAGGGCUGAAACCCGCCCUCAUGAACAUGGAAUCCCUAGUAACCGCGUGUCAUCAUCGCGCGGUGAAUAC